AAAAUGUUGUUGAAAAAUGGCAAGUGCAAGGAAAAGAAAGAUGAGAAAAAGAAAAAGUGUGUAGAAACAUCCGCUUCUACCGAAAAAAAGAGAAAAAGAAAUGGAAAAAAAAGGUAUCUAUAUAGAGAAAUGAAAAAAUAAGCACUUGCCUUAGAAAUUUACCCAUGCAUUAAUAUGAAUUUGAGUGGAAAAAGAGUCAAGAUUG
rnacentral:lncRNA from 1 species